CAGGACCAAGCUCUGCAGGCUGAUCUGGGGUACACGGGAGAAGGGAAACCCCUGCUUGGGUUGAGCUCACUACCCUGCAGGGACCCUGACCAAUACACACUUCUUACAUGUGAUGAUUUGGACAGAAAUCUUAUUUUCUUUUCAAAACUUGCUCCCAUGAGAGAGACUGCAUUGUUGAUGAAUACCGCAUUUCUCUCCCUUGAUGAGCAAACUCGGGGACCAAUAAUAUUCGAUAGGGGUGGGGCGUGCAGUCUCCACCCAAACCCUCUCUGGGCUCUUAUGAUGGAGCGAUGCGGUUGCGUGGUGCGGGCAGUGUGCCUAUGCACCUUGGUGCCGCUCCACGGGGCCACUUGAGGGGCGGUGGGUGGUGUCUUGUUUGCCGGAUAAGGAGUGGGACUGCCGGGGGCCAGAGCUGAGGGAAUGGGGGGUUAUAGCUUGGGAAAGAGAAGGAGGCAAGAUGGGAAGGGUGGCAGUGGGGAAUGGAUAUGGGGAAAGGAUAGAAAAGGAGCAAUAGCCUGGGGGUUCUGUUCCUUCUGUUUUUGCCGUGUGGCUGCCCAGCCCUAUUCAAUGUUCAGUCAAGUCAUCAUUUCUCAGCGGGAGGUGCGGUGCCUCGGAGUCGUUGUCGUGUUUGGAGGUUUUGACUGCGGCCUGCCAUGCUGGGAUCCACCUGGAACGGGGCUGCCACCUGUGAGGCUUCAUCUACGCAACAAGGCCUUUGCCAGCAGGCGCCCUCCCUCCCUCCCUCUGCCCUCUGGCCAUGUCUUACCACCAUCUCUUGGUCCUGGCUGUACUCUGAGCCGGCAACUUUUCUGUAACCUUGAGGUGGUGCAUAAGCCCUUGCACUCCAUCCGGGGGUGGGAAGUCCGCCUGUGGUUCUUC
rnacentral:lncRNA from 1 species